AUACGUAGGGUGCGAGCGUUGCCCGGAAUUACUGGGCGUAAAGAGCUCGCAGGCGGUUUGUCGCGUCGUCUGUGAAAUUCCGGGGCUUAACUCCGGGCGUGCAGGCGAUACGGGCAUAACUUGAGUACUGUAGGGGAGACUGGAAUUCCUGGUGUAGCGGUGAAAUGCGGAGAUAUCAGGAGGAACACCGGUGGCGAAGGGGGGUCUCUGGGCAGUAACUGACGCUGAGGAGCGAAAGCAUGGGUAGCGAACAGGAUUAGAUACCCUGGUAGUCCAUGCCGUAAACGGUGGGCGCUAGGUGUAGGGGUCUUCCACGACUUCUGUGCCGUAGCUAACGCAUUAAGCGCCCCGCCUGGGGAGUACGGCCGCAAGGCUAAAACUCAAAUGAAUUGGCGGGG
rnacentral:rRNA from 1 species